CUAUCAAGAGAGCUAUCCGUCGACAGUAUUGUUUCUAAACUGUCAUGGAGUUGCUCUCUUUAUGGAC
rnacentral:pre_miRNA from 1 species